rnacentral:lncRNA from 1 species
GUUGCCUAGAUAGACAACCCAAGAGGGGGGGUGAAUUGGGUUUUAAAAUAAUUUGGCUAUUAAAACUUUUGUGGAUAACUAAUUAAUGCUUUUGCGAGAUGAUUAAUUAGUUUCUAUGUGCGGUGAAUGAAAUGCGAGAGAUAGAGAGAGACAAACAAUCACAAACACAAUGUUUUAUAGUGGUUCGGAGCUAACCCUUGCUCCUACGUCCACUCCCCAAGUCUCACUUGGGAAUUCACUAUAACCCCUUGGAUUACAGCCGUUUGUUUUUCAA